rnacentral:sRNA from 1 species
CCUCACCCCCGCCCACCACUUCCAGGACUUCCGCUUCAAGACCUAUGCACAG